AUCGCGGAUCACUAGCGAUCGCCGCAAUCUGGAACAAGAACUAGACCAUAUGGUUACAAAAUUCUUGGAAAGGGGAUAUGAUUAUCAACUGCUACUGAAGCAUAAAGAAGAAGUUAUGCAGAUCCCCAGGGAAGCUUUGUUAACCCCUAAGAAUCCAGUACAGAAACCAGUUAUCAUCUUCCCGACCAAAUAUAAUACGUCUAGCCCGGUGGUUCAGAGGGCCACCAAAGCCUUGUGGCCACUAGUGGCCUCGGAUCAAGCCCUCCAUUCUCUCCGCAACAAAAGACCUAUGGUCUGCUACCAACGGGGCAGGAAUAUCAAAGAUAGAGUGGUCCACUCGGACGUCACCGGUUUUCAAGUAGAGGCAAACAGGCAGAGUCGACCUCAAGGUGCUUUUCUAGAAAAGAAACCUGGCUGCUAUAAAUGCAUAAAAUGCACAACAUCGCCGCAGCCCGGCCGCUCUGCACGCCUGGUUACCAUAGCAACCAGACGCGACCACGAAAGACCCGACAGCCGGAAGACAGCAGAGAGGACGGACUGUUUUCCUGGUUGCUACGGCGACCGCACACGACAGCGCUGACGUCAGAUACAGGCAGCCGGAAAUGGUGCGGGAAUCAGCGUGGUCGGGCGGGCGGAAGUCACGGAGGGAUAUCUCUCUAUUUAAGCGCCGCAGCCCGGCCGCUCUGCACGCCUGGUUACCAUAGCAACCAGACGCGACCACGAAAGACCCGACAGCCGGAAGACAGCAGAGAGGACGGACUGUUUUCCUGGUUGCUACGGCGACCGCACACGACAGCGCUGACGUCAGAUACAGGCAGCCGGAAAUGGUGCGGGAAUCAGCGUGGUCGGGCGGGCGGAAGUCACGGAGGGAUAUCUCUCUAUU